rnacentral:rRNA from 1 species
AGCGAACACUGGCGGCAGGCCUAACACAUGCAAGUCGAACGAACCCUUCGGGGUUAGUGGCGGACGGGUGAGUAACACGUGGGAACGUGCCUUUAGGUUCGGAAUAACUCAGGGAAACUUGUGCUAAUACCGAAUGUGCCCUUCGGGGGAAAGAUUUAUCGCCUUUAGAGCGGCCCGCGUCUGAUUAGCUAGUUGGUGAGGUAAUGGCUCACCAAGGCUACGAUCAGUAGCUGGUCUGAGAGGAUGACCAGCCACAUUGGGACUGAGACACGGCCCAAACUCCUACGGGAGGCAGCAGUGGGGAAUUUUGCGCAAUGGGCGAAAGCCUGACGCAGCCAUGCCGCGUGGAUGAUGAAGGUCUUAGGAUUGUAAAAUCCUUUCACCGGUGAAGAUAAUGACUGUAGCCGGAGAAGAAGCCCCGGCUAACUUCGUGCCAGCAGCCGCAGUAACAC